rnacentral:rRNA from 1 species
UGAGGAAUCUUCCACAAUGGGCGAAAGCCUGAUGGAGCAACGCCGCGUGCAGGAUGAAGGCCUUCGGGUUGUAAACUGCUUUUAUUAGUGAGGAAUAUGACGGUAACUAAUGAAUAAGGAUCGGCUAACUACGUGCCAGCAGCCGCGGUCAUACGUAGGAUCCGAGCGUUAUCCGGAGUGACUGGGCGUAAAGAGUUGCGUAGGUGGUAAGUAAAGCGAAUAGUGAAAUCUGGUGGCUCAACCAUUCAGGCUAUUAUUCGAACUCACUUACUCGAGAGUGGUAGAGGUAACUGGAAUUUCUAGUGUAGGAGUGAAAUCCGUAGAUAUUAGAAGGAACACCAAUGGCGUAGGCAGGUUACUGGACCAUUUCUGACACUGAGGCACGAAAGCGUGGGGAGCG